rnacentral:rRNA from 1 species
UACGGGGGGGGCAAGCGUUGUUCGGAAUUACUGGGCGUAAAGGGCUCGUAGGUGGCCAACUAAGUCAGACGUGAAAUCCCUCGGCUUAACCGGGGAACUGCGUCUGAUACUGGAUGGCUUGAGUUCGGGAGAGGGAUGCGGAAUUCCAGGUGUAGCGGUGGAAUGCGCAGAUAUCAGGAGGAACACCAAUAGCGAAGGCAGCUUGCUGGGACGGUACUGACGCUAAGGCGCGAAAGCGUGGGGGGCGAACAGG